AUUGAACGCUGGCGGCAGGCUUAACACAUGCAAGUCGAGCGGAGAGAGGUAGCUUGCUACUGAUCUUAGCGGCGGACGGGUGAGUAAUGCUUAGGAAUCUGCCUAUUAGUGGGGGACAACAUUUCGAAAGGAAUGCUAAUACCGCAUACGUCCUACGGGAGAAAGCAGGGGAUCUUCGGACCUUGCGCUAAUAGAUGAGCCUAAGUCGGAUUAGCUAGUUGGUGGGGUAAAGGCCUACCAAGGCGACGAUCUGUAGCGGGUCUGAGAGGAUGAUCCGCCACAAGGGGACUGAGACACGGCCCAGAGUCCUACGGGAGGCAGCAGUGGGGAAUAUUGGACAAUGGGCGGAAGCCUGAUCCAGCCAUGCCGCGUGUGUGAAGAAGGCCUUAUGGUUGUAAAGCACUUUAAGCGAGGAGGAGGCUACUUUAGUUAAUACCUAGAGAUAGUGGACGUUACUCGCAGAAUAAGCACCGGCUAACUCUGUGCCAGCCGCCGCGGUAAAAC
rnacentral:rRNA from 1 species